rnacentral:rRNA from 1 species
GAUGAACGCUGGCGGCGUGCCUAAUACAUGCAAGUCGAGCGAACAGACGAGGAGCUUGCUCCUCUGACGUUAGCGGCGGACGGGUGAGUAACACGUGGAUAACCUACCUAUAAGACUGGGAUAACUUCGGGAAACCGGAGCUAAUACCGGAUAAUAUAUUGAACCGCAUGGUUCAAUAGUGAAAGACGGUUUUGCUGUCACUUAUAGAUGGAUCCGCGCCGCAUUAGCUAGUUGGUAAGGUAACGGCUUACCAAGGCAACGAUGCGUAGCCGACCUGAGAGGGUGAUCGGCCACACUGGAACUGAGACACGGUCCAGACUCCUACGGGAGGCAGCAGUAGGGAAUCUUCCGCAAUGGGGGAAAGCUUGACGGAGCAACGCCGCGUGAGUGAUGAAGGUCUUCGGAUCGUAAAACUCUGUUAUUAGGGAAGAACAAAUGUGUAAGUAACUAUGCACGUCUUGACGGUACCGGAUCAGAAAGCCACGGCUAACUACGUG